UACGUAGGGUGCAAGCGUUGUCCGGAAUUAUUGGGCGUAAAGAGUUCGUAGGCGGUCUGUCACGUCGGCUGUGAAAACCUGGGGCUCAACUCCGGGCCUGCAGCCGAUACGGGCAGACUAGAGUUCGGCAGGGGAGACUGGAAUUCCUGGUGUAGCGGUGAAAUGCGCAGAUAUCAGGAGGAACACCGGUGGCGAAGGCGGGUCUCUGGGCCGAAACUGACGCUGAGGAGCGAAAGCGUGGGGAGCAAACAGG
rnacentral:rRNA from 1 species